GAGUACUCUUUAUUAAUACUCUUAAACUAACUUAUUACAUGGUUCUUACUUUUAUUUAUACUAACUAUUUAGUAUGUUUACUUAUUACUAGUUGAUAAUUUGUUUAGAUACAGAUAAUAUUAUUUGUUUAGGUUUGUUUACAUAUACAUACAUACAUAUAUUGUUUGCUUAGAUACAUUUGCUUUGCUUUAAGAUAAGGUUGUUGUGUUAUUUAAACUCAAGGUUGUUGCAUUCUGUUUAAAAUUAAAAAGAAAAAUAGGCUGGAAAUACCGUAUUUGCAUGUUGCCCAGAAAUUGAAGAAUCGAAUCUUCUAAUGUUCACUUCAGAAAAGAAAAGUACAACGUGGCUCAAUGCCGACUCUCAAAAUUGAUUUAAUUUAUUUAUUUUUUUUUCUAUAUAUGAUAUUAAAUUAUAAAUUUAUCAUUUAUAUGAACUCCUGUAUCCUGUCACAUAAUAAUUUUAUAUUUUUACCUAAUAUAUAAUUUCACAGUUUUCGAUUUAGCCGAUUUUAUAUAUUCAACGCUAUGAAAAUGCAGCCUAAUCAAAAAAUUGUAGUAUUUGAAAAGAGCAUAAGUCAAUUUUGAUUAAUAAAGCACUUCAAAUGAAAAAAAGCAGAGAACGUAAAAUAAUAGAGAAAAUUCACGAUUAGAGAUAUUUCACUUUUGAGAUAUUUACUAUUUUAUAUGAGCGUGUUUCACCACAUUUAACAUCAGGGGACACGAAAAUAUCAGAAUUGAGCUAUUUCCGAUCUUAAGGAAUGUAAGCUUACAGAUUCGCAUAUUUACAAUGCGCAAACGACUCUGCAUAUAAUUGAUAUACAUAUGUAUAUUUUCUAUACAUACAUAUAUUUUAUAUCAAAGCACACAAGCAUGUACGUAUAAAUUGAACUAUUUCAUGAUGAAUUCCUUAAAAUCUUUGGAAAAAUGUAUAUAAUAGUCAUGUUUAUGUUGUUACCUAAAUAUUUAAUUAAUGUAGGUUUGAUAAGAUAUGUAUGUAUAUAUUUAUAUACAUACACAUUUAUUUGCAGACCUUUAAAAGUUUUGAUAACAUGUUAAAAGGCCAAGUGGUCGCACAUAUUCACGCAUGUAUGUAAUUAUGUGAUCAUGUUAACAAAUUUGCAAGAACCAUACGCAUAAUGUGUGUAAAUUUGUCCACACAUAACUAUGUAUGUAUAUAUGUACACAUAUUGUUUCAUGCGAAAUCUGCGUUGUCCCGGACAACCAAUGGCCGAAGCUCGCGUUUUGUCAAAGUGUUAAUGUGUCGUAAGACUGAUGCGACGACAAAGCGUCAAAACAUUGUGUUGUUAGUAGAAAAUCCAAGCGGUGCUGAAAACACAAACGAACUAUCGCCAAUUGUCACUGCUUCCCUUGUCGCUGUAACAGCUUCUCCAACAAACCAGUGUAAAUAUGUAUGUUUAUUAGUGAUGAGAGAUAUUUCACUACCGGUGAUUUUUUCACUGUGAUUGAAAAAUCGCAUAUCGCAACUGCGAUCACAUAGCAGUUCGCUUCUAUGAACUGUGAUUGCGAUAGCAGUUAGAACCUGUGAUUCUCGAUAGCAGUUCGAACCUGUGAAUUGCGAUAACAGUUCGCAAUCAACUUGUGAAACUGUGAUUUUUUAAUAGUACAGUACUUGCAAUCACAAUAGCAAAUAGCAAAAAAGUAGCAGCUUUCUUCAGGGUAUUGUAUAUACAUAUAUAUGCGUAUAUGCUAUUUUUCGUCAUAGCGGUUUGAAGUUUGAGUGUAACUUUCUUAUAAUUUUAAUAUUGGCAGGAAAUGUAUAAAGGAAAAGAAGUGAAGUAUGGCAGAUGUUUGAAGUGGUAGAUGAAAUAUAUGCAAAAUGCAAUAUUUGCAAAUCAAAAAUUUCAUAUAAAACAUCUUUAACAAAUUAAAAAAAAACAUGUCCAGAAUAGACAUCCUACAGUGGAACUACCAGCUCAAAAGAAACAAGCAAAUCAUACCACAACUACUGUAAUUCAAACCCGUUCUAACUCGGAAGCCCCAAUAGGUAUUGAUAAUGAGCCAGAAACUUCGAGGCAGUCGAACCGCUCCAAAUUUUGCGAAAAUGUAGUGAAAAGAAAGGCGGAAAAACUUGACUCGCGUUGCAGGACCCAAAAGAGAAUUUGGUUUCCAUCGUUCCCACGACAGUUGGGUCUACGUAACUGGAACGGACCCGGACUUUUAUUCGGCCAAACAUUGUCAAAUCGGCAGAAUCUGCCGCUAUAACAACAAAAUAAAGGUCUCCGUUUUAACGUCGAUUUAGUUGCGAUCGCAAUAGCAAUAUAAAAUCACAGUGAUUUAAAAAUAGCAAUCACUGAAAUCAAAGAUAUCGAAAAAUCGCAAUAUUGCUUAUCUCUAAUGUUUAUGUGUGAGCUUGCAUACAUAUCGACACAGAUUUUUGCAAGCCGCGUAAAAUUAUUUUUUACAUUCCUUGACAAAUGCAGUCAAUCCCGGUUAGGUGCCGUAAUCAAAGAUAAAGAUUUUUGUGGUUUGUUAAAAAUAAAAUUAUAAAAUGGCACAUCAGCGAGUGCGGAUACUUAAGCGAGUGGUACUUAAAACAAUAAUUUCUAUGCAUUUCAAAAAACAAUCCGUGAGAUGCAGCAAGAUAUAGACUGUUAAGAGUGAUGAGGGAGGGAUUUGAUUUUCAUUUAAGCGGAGUACUACUUGAACGGGAUUCACUGUACUCAUAAAUCAGAGGAAUAUUGAAUACUUUCUAUGAUAUAAUACAUUUCUUGACUUGAAAAUCGACAAAUAAACUAUGUUGUCAGUUUUAUUCUAAUAUAUUUGAAUACUUAUA